rnacentral:misc_RNA from 1 species
GAUGAAGAACGUAGCGAAAUGCGAUACGUAAUGUGAAUUGCAGAAUUCAGUGAAUCAUCGAAUCUUUGAACGCAUAUUGCGCUCUCUGGUAUUCCGGAGAGCAUGCUUGUUUGAGUAUCAGUAAACACCUCAACUUCCAUAUCUUUUUUGAAAUGGGAGUUGGACUUGAGUGAUCCCAACGCUUUUCCUCACCGAAAAGUGGCGGGUUACUUGAAAUGCAGGUGCAGCUGGACUUUUCUCUGAGCUAUAAGCAUAUCUAUCUAGUCUGCCUAAAAACAGAUUAUUACCUUUGCUGCAGCUAACAUAAAGGAGAUUAGUUCUUGUGCUGACUGAUGCAGGAUUCACAAAGACAGGCUUCGGCCGACUUUGUAAACUCGAUCUCAAAUCAAGUAAGACUACCCGCUGAACUUAAGCAUAUCAAUAAGCGGAGGA